rnacentral:tRNA from 1 species
GGUGGUAUUGCUCAAUGGUAGAGGUAGAGUACAUGUUUAGCAUGCAUGAGGCCCUGGGUUCAAUCCCCAGUACCUCCA